CUCUCCCCGCAUAUACACAUAUAUAUGAUUUACAAUAUUGAUCCGAUCAUCUUUUUUUCUUUCUCUUCAUCAUUUUCUACAUCGCAAUCUUCAAUCAAUGGAAGAUUUCAUCAUCGAUUCAUUGAAAAAGAAUCUCAGUUGCCGAUUUACUUCUCUUCCGAGUUCUCUCUCACCUGGUAUCGAAAACCCUAGGUUAAUUUAAAACCAAAGGUUUUACCAAAGCUGUAUGUGCAGAGCAUCUUGAGUUGAGAAAAGAAAUAUUGACUUUAUUGAAUCUUCAGAAACAGAUUGAGAAGCUUUUAAAGAUGAAGCUAUAGAAGAAAAGGGUGAGCAAGCCAAUGUUUCUAGUCACUCUCAAGUUUGCAGUCAAUGUUUCUAGUGACCUUCAGCAAUUCAUUUUUGCUACUUUGAAGACAUCGAUUGGUUAAUUCACUCUCUAUCAAGGUAUGCAUUAGAUGAUAUUGGUUUUGGAUCUCAUGUGCAUCUCAGUUUGUGUCAGAGUUGAACCCAUAUGAAUAGGUAGUUAGGUACUAACAGAGAAGUAUGAUUUUUUACCAGUUCUGUUAAAAUAUCUUGUCUACAUAGAAUUAUUUUUUAAGCAUGCAGUUAUAUUUGGAAAUUUGAUGGGUGUACUAUUGAUCUUGAGGAAAACCUUUCAAGGUGAUGUUUCCAUCGCUUUCUGUUCUGCAUGAAGAAAGCAGAUAUCUCACAAUAAUUUCAGGGAGCCACUAUUCUGCAGAGACUUUUUCCCAGUUAAUCAUUGGAAUUGAAACAAACAGAUCCUUACAUUUCUACGUCUCCCUGCAGACUUGAAUCGAUGCUCCCUUUUUGCUAAAUUUAAAUAAUGCCCUUCUGUGCAAAUUCUUUUUGCCCAUUUCUUCACUUCCAAAUUUAUGCAGUUUGAAGGAUCAAAAUUUUAGUAUGUUGUUGGGUUUUUGAACUUCAAAUAGAUGUGUAUUAAAUUAACAAAAAAUAAUAUAGUUUGUUUUCUGUAAUUUCCUUGUUCAACUGUUAUUGGAAUGUAGUUAUGAUUGCAUAGUGCCCAAUAUGUGGAGUGGAGCAUACCAGUGCUGGGGAAAAGAGAAUAGAGAAGCACCCCUGAGAACCGCAUGCCCACCUGGGGUUCCAAAUGGUGUUGUGAGCAACUUUGAGAUUAAAGCAUUUGAUGGGUGUGCAAAUCCACACUUGGGGCUGGCUACUAUAAUUGCUGCUGGGAUUGAUGGCCUUCGUAGACAUCUGAGUUUGCCCGAACCCAUUGGAUUUUCAUCAUUACUCUAUGACUAUAGACGGUGAUAAGCUUUUGUGGUCAUGGAACAACUAAUUGUUUAGGGCAUGUUGCUCUUGUAACUGAACUAGUGAAGAGGUGGUGCGAGAGAAAGACAAAGUUGAAGUCAUGUUGAACUAAUUUGAUCUUGUUUUGGGAUUUAACUCAUAUAAUGAACUAUGUUGAAGUGAAUUUGGAUUCUUAGAGUUUUGAUUUUUGUUUGUUUUUUGUA